rnacentral:rRNA from 2 species
UUGGAGGGCAAGUCUGGUGCCAGCAGCCGCGGUAAUUCCAGCUCCAAUAGCGUAUAUUAAAGUUGUUGCAGUUAAAAAGCUCGUAGUUGAAUUUCGGGAUCAGUACGCUGGUCGUGCCUCCGGUAUGUACUGGUGUCACUGGUUCCUCCCUUCUGAAGAACCAUCAUGCUAUUAAUUUAGUGUGGUGGGAAAUCAGGACUGUUACUUUGAAAAAAUUAGAGUGUUUAAAGCAGGCUCACGCUUGAAUACAUUAGCAUGGAAUAAUGAAAUAGGACGUUGAUCCUAUUUUGUUGGUUUCUAGGAUUGACGUAAUGAUUAAUAGGGAUAGUUGGGGGCAUUAGUAUUCAAUUGUCAGAGGUGAAAUUCUUGGAUUUAUUGAAGACUAACUACUGCGAAAGCAUUUGCCAAGGAUGUUUUCAUUAAUCAAGAACGAAAGUUAGGGGAUCGAAGACGAUCAGAUACCGUCGUAGUCUUAACCAUAAACUAUGCCGACUAGGGAUCGGAUGAUGUUAAUUUUUUAAUGACUCAUUCGGCGCCUUACGGGAAAC